GGCCUGGUAGCAUAGCGGUAGUGUGCCUGCUUCAGAUACAUAAUGAUUCCAACUUUACCGUUGGCAGGAGGUCCUCGUUCGAAUCGGGGUCAGGCCA